UUCAGACAUAGACUUCAUCACCGGCCUACUAGAAAUGUACUGUGGAUUAGAGUGUUUAUGGAAGAUCAAAGCCAAGAGCUAUUCUGAUAAAAUUCGACGGAAUGCGGCCUUGGAGGAGCUAGUGGAGUACUGCAGGCCCUUUGUGUCCGGUGCUGACAAAGAAUAGGUCAAGAAAAAGAUACAGAACCUGCGUACUGUGUUCCUGAAAGAACACAAAAAAAUGGAACAUUCCAAAAGGUCUGGAGCAGGUUCUUCCAAGAUUUACAAAACCUCGCUCUGGUACUACCCCAUGCUGGAGUUUGUCCUGGACCAGGAGGCUACCCGGACAGGUUUCACCUCCCUCCCUCCCUCAGACUGCCACACCAGAGCUUGAAGACGGUGAGCCAUCUCUGUCGGCAUCUGAUCCAGAGAAACCACCACAAUAUCUUUAUACUCCUAAUUAAAAGUCUCUAUAAUCUCUAUACGAACAGUGUAGCUGGCAUGAAGG